GGGUUGUGAGGUUAAGCGACUAAGCGUACACGGUGGAUGCCCUGGCAGUCAGAGGCGAUGAAGGGCGUGCUAAUCUGCGAUAAGCGCCGGUAAGGUGAUAUGAACCGUUAUAACCGGCGAUACCCGAAUGGGGAAACCCAGUGUGAUUCGUCACACUAUCAUUAACUGAAUCCAUAGGUUAAUGAGGCGAACCGGGGGAACUGAAACAUCUAAGUACCCCGAGGAAAAGAAAUCAACCGAGAUUCCCCCAGUAGCGGCGAGCGAACGGGGAGGAGCCCAGAGCCUGAAUCAGCAUGUGUGUUAGUGGAAGUGUCUGGAAAGGCGCGCGAUACAGGGUGACAGCCCCGUACACAAAAGCGCAUGUGCUGUGAGCUCGAUGAGUAGGGCGGGACACGUGGUAUCCUGUCUGAAUAUGGGGGGACCAUCCUCCAAGGCUAAAUACUCCUGACUGACCGAUAGUGAACCAGUACCGUGAGGGAAAGGCGAAAAGAACCCCGGCGAGGGGAGUGAAAAAGAACCUGAAACCGUGUACGUACAAGCAGUGGGAGCACAGGUUUACCUGUGUGACUGCGUACCUUUUGUAUAAUGGGUCAGCGACUUAUAUUCUGUAGCAAGGUUAACCGAAUAGGGGAGCCGGAGGGAAACCGAGUCUUAAUUGGGCGUUAAGUUGCAGGGUAUAGACCCGAAACCCGGUGAUCUAGCCAUGGGCAGGUUGAAGGUUGGGUAACACUAACUGGAGGACCGAACCGACUAAUGUUGAAAAAUUAGCGGAUGACCUGUGGCUGGGGGUGAAAGGCCAAUCAAACCGGGAGAUAGCUGGUUCUCCCCGAAAGCUAUUUAGGUAGCGCCUCGUGAAUUCAUCUCCGGGGGUAGAGCACUGUUUCGGCUAGGGGGCCAUCCCGGCUUACCAACCCGAUGCAAACUGCGAAUACCGGAGAAUGUUAUCACGGGAGACACACGGCGGGUGCUAACGUCCGUCGUGAAGAGGGAAACAACCCAGACCGCCAGCUAAGGUCCCAAAGUCAUGGUUAAGUGGGAAACGAUGUGGGAAGGCCCAGACAGCCAGGAUGUUGGCUUAGAAGCAGCCAUCAUUUAAAGAAAGCGUAAUAGCUCACUGGUCGAGUCGGCCUGCGCGGAAGAUGUAACGGGGCUAAACCAUGCACCGAAGCUGCGGCAGCGAAGGUAUCACCCAAGACAACUUUACGGAGUUGACGAUUGACGGAGCGAAGCGACGUCAAAGCGUAUACAAAGUCGAGUUGGCUUAGGGAUACGUUCGUUGGGUAGGGGAGCGUUCUGUAAGCCUGUGAAGGUGGCCUGUGAGGGUUGCUGGAGGUAUCAGAAGUGCGAAUGCUGACAUAAGUAACGAUAAAGCGGGUGAAAAGCCCGCUCGCCGGAAGACCAAGGGUUCCUGUCCAACGUUAAUCGGGGCAGGGUGAGUCGACCCCUAAGGCGAGGCCGAAAGGCGUAGUCGAUGGGAAACGGGUUAAUAUUCCCGUACUUGGUGUUACUGCGAAGGGGGGACGGAGAAGGCUAUGUUGGCCGGGCGACGGUUGUCCCGGUUUAAGCGUGUAGGUGUGUGUUCCAGGUAAAUCCGGUUCACUUUAACACUGAGGCGUGACGACGAGGCACUACGGUGCUGAAGCAACAAAUGCCCUGCUUCCAGGAAAAGCCUCUAAGCAUCAGGUAACAUCAAAUCGUACCCCAAACCGACACAGGUGGUCAGGUAGAGAAUACCAAGGCGCUUGAGAGAACUCGGGUGAAGGAACUAGGCAAAAUGGUGCCGUAACUUCGGGAGAAGGCACGCUGACACGUAGGUGAAGUGAUUUACUCAUGGAGCUGAAGUCAGUCGAAGAUACCAGCUGGCUGCAACUGUUUAUUAAAAACACAGCACUGUGCAAACACGAAAGUGGACGUAUACGGUCUGACGCCUGCCCGGUGCCGGAAGGUUAAUUGAUGGGGUCAGCGCAAGCGAAGCUCCUGAUCGAAGCCCCGGUAAACGGCGGCCGUAACUAUAACGGUCCUAAGGUAGCGAAAUUCCUUGUCGGGUAAGUUCCGACCUGCACGAAUGGCGUAAUGAUGGCCAGGCUGUCUCCACCCGAGACUCAGUGAAAUUGAACUCGCUGUGAAGAUGCAGUGUACCCGCGGCAAGACGGAAAGACCCCGUGAACCUUUACUAUAGCUUGACACUGAACAUUGAGCCUUGAUGUGUAGGAUAGGUGGGAGGCUUUGAAGCGUGGACGCCAGUCUGCGUGGAGCCGACCUUGAAAUACCACCCUUUAAUGUUUGAUGUUCUAACGUGGACCCGUAAUCCGGGUUGCGGACAGUGUCUGGUGGGUAGUUUGACUGGGGCGGUCUCCUCCUAAAGAGUAACGGAGGAGCACGAAGGUUGGCUAAUCCUGGUCGGACAUCAGGAGGUUAGUGCAAUGGCAUAAGCCAGCUUGACUGCGAGCGUGACGGCGCGAGCAGGUGCGAAAGCAGGUCAUAGUGAUCCGGUGGUUCUGAAUGGAAGGGCCAUCGCUCAACGGAUAAAAGGUACUCCGGGGAUAACAGGCUGAUACCGCCCAAGAGUUCAUAUCGACGGCGGUGUUUGGCACCUCGAUGUCGGCUCAUCACAUCCUGGGGCUGAAGUAGGUCCCAAGGGUAUGGCUGUUCGCCAUUUAAAGUGGUACGCGAGCUGGGUUUAGAACGUCGUGAGACAGUUCGGUCCCUAUCUGCCGUGGGCGCUGGAGAACUGAGGGGGGCUGCUCCUAGUACGAGAGGACCGGAGUGGACGCAUCACUGGUGUUCGGGUUGUCAUGCCAAUGGCACUGCCCGGUAGCUAAAUGCGGAAGAGAUAAGUGCUGAAAGCAUCUAAGCACGAAACUUGCCCCGAGAUGAGUUCUCCCUGAGACUUAGAGUCUCCUGAAGGAACGUUGAAGACGACGACGUUGAUAGGCCGGGUGUGUAAGCGCAGCGAUGCGUUGAGCUAACCGGUACUAAUGAACCGUGAGGCUUAACCUUACAACGCCGAAGCUGUU
rnacentral:rRNA from 1 species